AAGAGGGAACCCGGUGCGAGUCCGGGACUGCCCCGCAGCGGUGAACGGGAACGAACUCCGUCACCGUCCUCGAGAAGCGAGGACGGUCACAGCACUGGUGGUCGACACCGCCGGGAAGCGACGGACAGUAGGCCAGCCGACCCCGGUCGGAGACGCCCGUGAGUCCGAAGACCU
rnacentral:ncRNA from 1 species